ensembl:lncRNA
AUGAUAAUAGAACGAAUUGUGUGGCCAGAACCAGACAGUGAUGAAGAGGAGGAAAUUGAUGAUUACUGCAGUGUGGUUGCUCACUUGCGGCAGUACAUCAGCUUAAUUUCUUCCUCCGAACUGCAGCACCUCAUUGAGUUUUGGACGGGUUGGGCGGUGCUGCCGGACAAGCUGUACGUCAGUGUUGACCGGGAUGCCACCUACCCGACAGCUUCUACCUGUUUCACCAAAUUGAAAAUCCCAAUAGGAUGUGGGUCCUACAGGGAUUUUUGUGUUAAGUUGGGGGCAGUUGUGAUCACCACUAAGUUUGGCUUUGGGAGGAUCUAGGUUUUGGGUCUUGGUUUCUAUCAUUUUACCUUGUGUCUUACCUUUUUAGUUCAAAUUGUUUGUUUUCGCAGUUUGCAAUAUAAUAUUAUUCCACACUUUCACACAUGUUGAGACAAUACGACAUUCCUCCUUACUAUUUGUCCGCCAAAAAGGGUGUUUUAAGCAUUGAAUUUAGGAAGUGAGUGCAAUGAAAAAAAGGUCAUUUUUUAAUAAAAGCAAAGCUCAAUAGGCAGAAGCUAGUUUGUCACAGUAUUGUCACUCACUUAUAUUAUGUUGGUUCAGUUCAUGUCAAUGGAACGGCAGUAUGUUUGGAUGAGGAAGAAUUAAGCAUACACUGCAUGUAAAGGGGAAGGUAGAUUCAUAUAUAUUUACAAAUUUGUAAAUCCUUGGAGAGAACAUCAUGCUGUUUGAAAAAUGUCUUGUGACUGCUCAACAACUGAGCUGCAAACAACAUAGCCUCAUUCAGUGAAACAUUUCGCUGAGGCAAUCGUGAGAGCUCCUCAGCAGUCAGGUCACGUGGUAGUUGGAUCUCCGGAACGUCGACUCCAGACAGGUCUUCCAGGUCCGGACCAUCUACACUGGCACUAUAAAGAUCGUCAACCUUAGGAAAUAAUACCAGUAUGAGCAAUCAGAGCAAUAGCCAGAGUAAAUUACAUGAACAGAAUUAGGAGUUGCAUGACCUCUGUGGAUGUUUGGAAACCCUAAUUAAAAUGUACAAUUUACAAUAUAAUUUACUUAUCGUAAUAUCCUCGUUUUGGGCCAAUCUUUAUAGCUGAACCUACAUCUGGGGGAUCAGCAACAGCACGUAUGUUGCGUAGCCACAGCUGGUAGCGUGACUAGCUAUUUUCAGUCCUCAGGCUGUGGAAAUUCCAGGCAUCUUGGAAAUGCCUGAGAUGGCUCUGGACCAAUGUCAGGAAAACCCAGUGGAGAGCGAAGAGGUGGAUCUCACUGUCUGGAUUCAACGUCCGUGAUGCUUCCAUUUCGUGGAAGAGAUCGAGCACUUGUGUGUAUACAUCUCUCUAAAGUCCCUCAAUUCUUAAAAACAGAAAAAGAUGUUAUGAUUAACAUAAAAUGGCCUCUAUGACUAUUUAAGGUAUGGAGUUGUAAAAGAUGAAUGAAGACAAAAUAGCUUGGUUGGUUGUUGGUACAAUUCAACAACCUAUUCAACUUACCUUUGAUUAUGCACACUCCUCCCAGUUAUGUGGGAAUUGCGGUUGGAUCCGCAGUUGUCCAACAUGUAAUAUGCCACCUCAAUGUUCUCUCUCCCCUUAUCCGACCGGACACAAGAUGGCACACCAUACUGCCUGACAGCUCCAAGAAAAGCAUCCAGCAAUGUUGUGGCACGGUUGUUGGUGGCUGCUGACAAGAACACCACUAGGCGGCUGAAGCCAUACAUCCCACGGUGGAUAACAAAUCUCCAACUUUUUGUUAAAGGAUAAACUAUAAUUACUACGAUUAUUUGACAUUCAUUUACAUAUCGUAUUAAUUUGUGAUUGCCAUCAAUAUGCCACGUACAGUUGGGCCCAGGAACUGAAUAUUGCCGCCUAUGUGGAGUUCGGUUGGCCAGGGCUCUUUGUUCUGUGCCCUCUGGUUUCACUCUUUUUAAGGAUUGGCGUACUCUGUGAACUUCACAUAGCACAGAAAAUCAAAAAUCAAGAACAGACAUAAAACAACAGCAUCAGUUUGGGUGCUUAUAGGUACAAGAGGUAGGUAAACAUACUUUGGACCAGAUGGCCUCUUCCCUGGAGAUGGUAUCGCAACAUCCGGUAGCCACACAGAUGGAUCCUGUGGAUCUCCAGCACCAGGGCGUCCAGCUGCGUGUCACUCAUCUCAGAAUACAUGGCUGACACACUUAGGAAAGGGAUAAAAAAAUAUCCUUGAUGAGUAACUGUUCCACUCUUAAACGUGUUCUUAGUAAUUUAUGAAGAUAAACUUAUUUUUAGGACACAUCGGCCAGCGAAAUAUAUAUUUAUAUAUUAUAUUAAUAUUUGACGAGUGUUGCCCGACACUUACCAUAGGCCUACUCGCCACACACAUAAGCACAGUCAUCCGACACCUGUGGUUACAGGUGUAACCUGGUUCUGCACGACCGGGUGCUCAGCCUGAUCCAGGUGAGCCAAGCGUCAUCUCUCUCCUACGAU